UGCCUUAGUGCUGGAUUGUGGAGUAUUUUUUUUGUUAUAAUACUUGGUAUGGAAAUGGAUUGGAACUAUUCUGGAAGUGUUGUAUUUGGGGAAGUUUUUAUACUUGGUAUGGAAGUGGAUUGGAACUAUUCUGGAAGUGUUGUAUUUGGG